rnacentral:rRNA from 1 species
GUAGGUGGCAAGCGUUGUCCGGAAUUAUUGGGCGUAAAGCGCGCGCAGGCGGUUCUUUAAGUCUGAUGUGAAAGCCCACGGCUCAACCGUGGAGGGUCAUUGGAAACUGGAGAACUUGAGUACAGAAGAGGAAAGCGGAAUUCCACGUGUAGCGGUGAAAUGCGUAGAGAUGUGGAGGAACACCAGUGGCGAAGGCGGCUUUCUGGUCUGUAACUGACGCUGAGGCGCGAAAGCGUGGGGAGCAAACAGGAUUAGAUACCCUGGUAGUCCACGCCGUAAACGAUGAGUGCUAAGUGUUAGGGGGGUUUCCGCCCCCCUUAGUGCUGCAGCUAACGCAUUAAGCACUCCGCCCUGGGAGUACGGCCGCAAGGCUG